rnacentral:rRNA from 1 species
UACGUAGGUGGCAAGCGUUGUCCGGAAUUAUUGGGCGUAAAGCGCGCGCAGGCGGUUAUGUAAGUCUGAUGUUAAAGCCCGGGGCUCAACCUCGGUUCGCAUUGGAAACUGUGUAACUUGAGUGCAGAAGAGGAAAGUGGUAUUCCACGUGUAGCGGUGAAAUGCGUAGAUAUGUGGAGGAACACCAGUGGCGAAGGUGACUUUCUGGUCUGUAAAUGACGUUGAGGCGCGAAAGCGUGGGGAGCAAACAGG